AGAGCAGCUGCCCUCCUACUAGGGCAAGUUAACUACCUCGAUCGCGUCCCGUGUGACUAAUGUUUGUCAAAUCUACAUCGGGCGUGGUGCGCCUGCAUAGUUACGCUUUGUUUCUCAGUGCUUGAACGUUCAUUGAUGUGAUUCUCUUGUGCGUUCAGCGCGGCUGCUUGUAAUACGGUCGUUCGCACUUCAGUUAAAUGUGGUCGACCACUUUUGCGUCGCGUAGAAGGACUGGCUUAGCCACCUUUCGAAGGAACCGGCGCGGUAUUGGUUCUCCCUGAUGCGGUCGCGUGCUGCUGUUGCUGCUUGCCGGACGCCUUCAGCAUUUUUUCGGCUCGCUUUGUCUGUGCGUGUGCGCGUGCUCGCGCUCGGCUUGAUUUGUGUGUGCGCUCAGCUCAGCUCGCUUUGUGUGUGUGUGCGUGCGUGCGCUCGCCUCGCUGUGUGUGUGUGUGUAUGUGCGUGUGUGUGUGUGUGUGCGCGUGUGCGUGCGUGCGUUCAGUACAUGCCGGUUUGUAUGGGCCGGCGUGUUUGCGCGUGUGUAGUGCGUACGUGUUUUGUGAGUGUGUUGUCUGUGGGUCGCUGUGUGUGCGUGCACGUGUUAGCGUGUCUGCCUGCAUGCAUGUAUGUGUGCUUGUUUGUGUUCAUCAAUGUGCGCGUGCGCACUUUUGUUUCUGCGCUUUGAGAGUGCGUAUACUUGUGUGUGCGUGUGGGUGCAUUUUGUGUGCGUGCGUAUGUAUUGCAUGAGGCCGGUAGAGUUUUACUCGCAAUAAAACUCUUCCGAUUUGGUGCAGCGAGUGUUCCCGCCUGAAAGCCGAGUUUGGUUUCAAGCCACCCUGGACAACUGCUGUAUGAGGCGCCGUUUCUCGGGAGGACCAGUGGGAAGGCGCCAAGUGAUGCAGAUGGUAGCAGCAACUUCACAAUGCCCAGCCUUGGCGCCCCCCAUCAAGAGCAAGCCACUUGCGUUCGCCUUCAGACAGAUGGUUAAUGUCUUCUUGAAAGCGGUUGAGAAGACAACAUUGAUGCAAGAUUCCAGCAAUGCCAUGCGCUGCAUUUAUUGGUCAAGAUGCUCAGAGAAUGGAGUCCCUGCACCUCGUGGUUAACCGUGAACAUUUCUUUUUCUUUUGGAAAGCUAAAGGCCAUUUGCUGCAUCACUUGCAUUUUUGCAGCUCAGAUGUGUACUAUAUUUUUCUAAUUUUGAAUCAAUAUUGGCUGUUCAGUAUAAAAAAUGACGUACAGCGUGAAGGACAAGGACUGCGAGAGACACACUCCACUGACUUUCAACAAUAUUUUAUUGCGUUGCCACAUCGUGUGUGUAUACACAGAGGGGUCAUGCGCAGAAAAUGAAAGCCAGUCACAAGGGGUGUUCUAACAGCAAGUCAUUGUAAAAAGAACAUGGUCACUUGAAA